GAGACUGGCAGGCUGGAGGCUGGGAGAGGGAAGCGGAAUUUCUGGUGUAGCGGUGAAAUGCGUAGAUAUCAGAAGGAAGGCCGGUGGCGAUGGCGGCUUCCUGGAACAGUCCUGACACUGAGAGACGAAAGCGUGGGGAGCAAACAGGAUUAGAUACCCUGGUAGUCCACGCCCUAAACGAUGGGUACUAAGUGUGGAGGGGUUAAACCCUCCGUGCCGCAGCAAACGCAGUAAGUACCCCGCCUGGGGAGUACCGGCCGCAAGGUUGAAACUCAAAGGAAUUGACGGGGGCCCGCACAAGCGGUGGUGCAUGUGGUUUAAUUCGACGCAACGCGAGGAACCUUACCUAGGCUUGACAUGUGGUGAGUAGCGAACCGAAAGGGGAGCGACCCGUCAAAUC
rnacentral:rRNA from 1 species